rnacentral:lncRNA from 10 species
AAGCAGAGGGGACGAUGAGUUGACUUUUGCUGAUGGAGCCUCUCUGAAGGGCAAAUUCAAAGUACAGCUGGGUGCUGCAGCACUGGAGUGCGAACUUGUGGCUGUGGUUAUGAAGGAGCCUCGUCAGCUAUGCCUUUAGCCCCUGGUGAAGCAGUGCCAGUCACACUUUGCCAGUCAAACGGAGAGGCAGCAGUAGUAAGACCAGACCAAAUCAAACCAAACCAAGCAAACCACGGGGAAUGGAGAUUAUUGCCUGCUCCUCCAAGCCCUUCACUGUAGAAUGGAAGCCUGUGAUUUUCCUGGCAUCAUGCAUGACUGAGAAGGUCAGUGUGGCUAAUUCUGAGCUUCAACAUCAGGAAACCCGUAGUUCUUCACACUGAGCCGCCUCCUGCAGCACAGUCAUCCUUGGUAAUAAAGCUGAU